rnacentral:rRNA from 1 species
UACGUAGGGGGCAAGCGUUGUCCGGAAUCAUUGGGCGUAAAGCGCGUGUAGGCGGCCAGGUAAGUCCGUUCUGAAAGCCCGGGGCUCAACCCCGGGAGGCGGAUGGAUACUGCUUGGCUCGAGUCCGGAAGAGGCGAGUGGAAUUCCCGGUGUAGCGGUGAAAUGCGCAGAUAUCGGGAGGAACACCAUGGCGAAGGCAGCUCGCUGGGACGGUACUGACGCUGAGGAGCGGAAAGUGUGGGGAGCGAACAGG